rnacentral:rRNA from 1 species
ACUGUCUCAACAACAGACUCGGUGAAAUUGUAAUUCCGGUGAAGAUGCCGGAUACCUGCGACAGGACGGAAAGACCCCAUGGAGCUUUACUGUAGCUUGACAUUGGGUCUUGGUACUACAUGUACAGGAUAGGUGGGAGGCUUUGAAACCAGGACGCCAGUUUUGGCGGAGCCAUCCUUGGGAUACCACCCUUGUAGUACUGGGACUCUAACCAUAGGCCAUGAAUCUGGUCUUGGGACACUGUCAGGUGGGCAGUUUGACUGGGGCGGUCGCCUCCCAAAAGGUAACGGAGGCGCUCAAAGGUUCUCUCAGUACGGUCGGAAAUCGUACGUAGAGUGUAAAGGCAAAAGAGAGCUUGAUUGCAAGACAUACAGGUCGAGCAAGGAUGAAAAUCGGACUUAGUGAUCCGGUGGUUCUGCGUGGAAGGGCCAUCGCUCAACGGAUAAAAGCUACCCUGGGGAUAACAGGCUUAUCUCCCCCAAGAGUCCACA